AGUCUUGGUGAAGGCUUCGUAAAGACGAUCAAACUCCUUCGACUUCUCUUCAUACUGACAAUGGACCUCUUUGAGCUUUCUUCCGGCGACGUCAACACUGUUCUCCUUCACCUGAUGCCAAAACAAAUCCAAUCGCUUAAGAUUCCUGACCAUUGCGAAACUGAAAUGUGGAACGCACUGACCUGCUGGAAGCGAGACACCGGGUGUGUGAGCAUCAGGUCCAACGAGGCGUUGUAUUCCACUAACGGGUGGUGCCGAUAGUGCCAAAUGAGCU